UGUAGAUGAAAGAGCGCGCGCACGCUGUGUCGAUCUCCAUGUGGUUUCGCUGUAGAACAAUUUCGCAAAGCACGCAUGCCCUGCUGGUGUCAAUAUUCACGCCGGCAUUCGCAUCGCCAUUAGUUGACGAAAACUCGUAAACACAUUUGAAUCAUGCGAGAUUCACAUUAGCUUCUUCAGCAGGUGUUCGGCGGCCAAGUAAGCGCUUAAGGUCAAGAUAUUACAUAACCGGUGUAUACGCACGUCACACAAAUUAGUACAAAGACACCUGGUUCCACUUGCCUGCCUCUUAUGAAACCUAUGAUAAUAAGACAAGGACACGUGACAAGGCGCGUGACGCCUCCGGCUCCUCCCCUUUGCAAUUCACGUGGACAGGAUACUAUCACCAGCUGCUUGUUGCUAUGGAAACCCAAGGAUCAUGCUGAGUCCAGGUUGUUUGUUAGAGUGAGUCGUGCGUCAUAUGUCAGCUGGGGGCCUGGGAACACGAUCCGUAAACACAACGUCAUCGAGAUGCUGUGAAAAACACGGAAAAAAACCUUACAAUAAAAACAUAACUUUAUAGGAAGAGGCAAUGUUUAAGGAUAAAUUUAUGUGAUGUUGCUACUAAAUUUUGUUAUCGUCAUUAUCGAUGUUUGGAGAAAUAUCUGUCAAAUGUAUUUUCCCUAGGGCUAUCCAGUAAGAGCCACACAGUAAACUCAGCACGCAAUGAGAAAACACAUAAGAUAUGGACAAAUAAAAACUUCAUCUGAGA